UGCGCUGCGCUGCACGAUGGUAUGGCUGGCUCCAGCCAGGCGGUGCGGCUGCCUGUCCUGGCACUCUGGGCGGCGCAGCUGUAGUGCUGACAGCCACCAGUGCUCCAGGCAGCACGGUAGUGGGCAGGGGGCAGGGGGGUUGGAUAGAGG